AGUGAACGCUGGCGGUAGGCCUAACACAUGCAAGUCGAACGGCAGCACAGUAAGAGCUUGCUCUUACGGGUGGCGAGUGGCGGACGGGUGAGGAAUACAUCGGAAUCUACUUUUUCGUGGGGGAUGACGUAGGGAAACUUACACUAAUACCGCAUACGACCUACGGGUGAAAGCAGGGGAUCUUCGGACCUUGCGCGAUUGAAUGAGCCGAUGUCGGAUUAGCUAGUUGGCGGGGUAAAGGCCCACCAAGGCGACGAUCCGUAGCUGGUCUGAGAGGAUGAUCAGCCACACUGGAACUGAGACACGGUCCAGACUCCUACGGGAGGCAGCAGUGGGGAAUAUUGGGCAAUGGGCGCAAGCCUGAUCCAGCCAUACCGCGUGGGUGAAGAAGGCCUUCGGGUUGUAAAGCCCUUUUGUUGGGAAAGAAAAGCAGCAGGUUAAUACCCCGCUGUUCUGACGGUACCCAAAGAAUAAGCACCGGCUAACUUCGCG
rnacentral:rRNA from 1 species